UACAGAGGUCUCAAGCGUUGUUCGGAUUCAUUGGGCGUAAAGGGUGCGUAGGCGGCGCGGUAAGUCGGGUGUGAAAUCUUGGAGCUUAACUCCGAAACUGCAUUCGAUACUGCCGUGCUUGAGGACUGGAGAGGAGACUGGAAUUUACGGUGUAGCGGUGAAAUGCGUAGAUAUCGGGAGGAACACCGGUGGCGAAGGCGGUUCUCUGGGCCUUACCUGACGCUGAGGAGCGAAAGCGUGGGGAGCGAACAGG
rnacentral:rRNA from 1 species